rnacentral:rRNA from 1 species
UUAUCCGGAUUUAUUGGGCGUAAAGCGUUCGUAGGCGGUUUGUAACAUCUCUUGUUAAAUCCCAAGGCUUAACCUUGGGGCUGCAGGAGAUAUGGAUAAACUAGAGACUGGAAGAGGCAAGCGGAAUUGCUGGUGUAGGGGUUAAAUCCGUUAAUAUCAGCAGGAACACCAAAAGCGAAGGCAGCUUGCUAGGACAGUUCUGACGCUCAGGAACGAAAGCGUGGGGAGCGAAUGGGAUUAGAUACCCCAGUAGUCCACGCCGUAAACGAUGGAUGCUGAGCAUCGGGAGUUUCGACCCUCUCGGUGCUGUCUACCUAAGUUAACACCUUAAGCAUCCCGCCUGGGGAGUACGGUCGCAAGACUAAAACUCAAAGGAAUAGACGGGGACCCGCACAAGCGGUGGAGCAUGUGGUUUAAUUCGACGAUAAGCGAGGAACCUCACCAAGGUUUGACAUAUAGCUGCAGACCCCUGGAAACAGGGGAGCCUUCGAGGGUGCUAUACAGAUGCUGCAUGGUUGUCGUCAGCUCGUGUCGUGAGAUGUACCGUUAAGUCGGGUAACGAGCGCAACCCCUACUCUAUGUUUUACGUGUCAUAGAGAACUGUCUGCUUUAAGCAGGAGGAAGGUGGGGAUGACGUCAAAUCAGCAUGGUUCUUACACCUUGGGCGACACGCGUGCUACAAUGGGGGACACAAAGGGACGCCAAACCGUAAGGUGGAGCAAAUCCCAAAAAAUCCCUCUCAGUUCGGAUUGAGGUCUGCAACUCGACCUCAUGAAGCUGGAAUCGCUAGUAAACGUGAAUCAGCCACG